rnacentral:lncRNA from 1 species
GGUUAAUUGCCGCUAAAUUCAAAAGCUUUUUGAAAAUUCGCGAUAUUCUCACCAACUUCAAAAUCGGCAUAUAAAUACAUGAAUUGAAAAUCCGUUCUUAAUGUUCCCAAACUCAGAAAAAACCCCCAAAUUGAAGGUGACGUGGACUACCGUAAAUACAACGUGGCAUAGUCGGCGGUGCAAGAAAACGACGUCGUUUUGAUUUCCAACAACAAUUAAAAAAAAGAAAAAGAAAAAAAGAAAAAUUGGGAUUGUGAUUUUCGGCGAGAGCUUCAAGCUCAGAUGGCGGAGCCGUCACUGGCAUCUCCCUCCAUGAAUCGUGCUCUGGCAUCUCCCUCGCCUCACCCCAUUUACAGAACCAGACGGCCACCACAGCUGAAGCCAGCCACCGCCGGUCCUCCCCUCUCCCUCGAAUCUCUGGCCGCCGCCUGCUCGUAGAUCAGGCGACGCCGCCUCCAACUCUCUCUCAGUCCAUUUCAUCCCUCUCACAACAGAACCCACACCUCACUCCGUCCACGUCGUCUCCUUCUUUGGAGACGGCGAGAGCGCCGCCUCCUCCGUCUCGCUCGUCCCCUUCUCUGUUCACUGAACUCGGCGGCCGCAGCAGCAGAAAGCCCGCCGCCACCGCUGACCGCGCCUGCCUCCCUCCACUCUCUCUCUAAAACUCCCGGCGACAGCAACCCUCCUCACGGCCUCCUUGCGCAGUGGCGUUUGCCUGGGCAGACGAAUGACGGCGGCGCGGUGGUGGCGUGGUUGGGGGGGUAGGGGAAGGGAUGAGAGAGGGGAUAGGGGGUAGGUGGUCGGGGGGUUGGG